rnacentral:rRNA from 1 species
UGCCAGCAGCCGCGGUAAUACGGAGGGUGCGAGCGUUAAUCGGAAUUACUGGGCGUAAAGCGCGCGUAGGCGGUUUAAUAAGUUGGAUGUGAAAUCCCCGGGCUUAACCUGGGAACUGCAUCCAAAACUGUUAGGCUAGAGUGCGAUAGAGGGGGGUAGAAUUUCCGGUGUAGCGGUGAAAUGCGUAGAGAUCGGAAGGAAUACCAGUGGCGAAGGCGGCCCCCUGGAUUGACACUGACGCUGAGGUGCGAAAGCGUGGGGAGCAAACAGGAUUAGAUA